GAUGAACGCUGGCGGCGUGCCUAAUACAUGCAAGUCGAGCGAACAGACGAGGAGCUUGCUCCUCUGACGUUAGCGGCGGACGGGUGAGUAACACGUGGAUAACCUACCUAUAAGACUGGGAUAACUUCGGGAAACCGGAGCUAAUACCGGAUAAUAUAUUGAACCGCAUGGUUCAAUAGUGAAAGACGGUUUUGCUGUCACUUAUAGAUGGAUCCGCGCCGCAUUAGCUAGUUGGUAAGGUAACGGCUUACCAAGGCAACGAUGCGUAGCCGACCUGAGAGGGUGAUCGGCCACACUGGAACUGAGACACGGUCCAGACUCCUACGGGAGGCAGCAGUAGGGAAUCUUCCGCAAUGGGCGAAAGCCUGACGGAGCAACGCCGCGUGAGUGAUGAAGGUCUUCGGAUCGUAAAACUCUGUUAUUAGGGAAGAACAAAUGUGUAAGUAACGAUGCACGUCUUGACGGUACCUAAUCAGAAAGCCACGGUUAACUACGU
rnacentral:rRNA from 1 species